rfam:Pteropus alecto contig62087, whole genome shotgun sequence.
GGUUCCAUAGUGUAGCGGUUAGCACGUCAGCUUUACACACAGAAGGUCCUCGGUUCAAGCCCCAGUGAAGCCA